UACGAAGGGGGCUAGCGUUGAUCGGAAUCACUGGGCGUAAAGCGCACGUAGGCGGAUUGUUAAGUCAGGGGUGAAAUCCUGGAGCUCAACUCCAGAACUGCCUUUGAUACUGGCGAUCUUGAGUCCGGGAGAGGUGAGUGGAACUGCGAGUGUAGAGGUGAAAUUCGUAGAUAUUCGCAAGAACACCAGUGGCGAAGGCGGCUCACUGGCCCGGUACUGACGCUGAGGUGCGAAAGCGUGGGGAGCAAACAGG
rnacentral:rRNA from 1 species